GACGAACGCUGGCGGCGUGCUUAACACAUGCAAGUCGAGCGGUAAGGCCCUUUCGGGGGUACACGAGCGGCGAACGGGUGAGUGACACGUGGGUGACCUGCCCUCAGCUCUGGGAUAAGCCCGGGAAACUGGGUCUAAUACCGGAUAUGACUCCAUGACGCAUGUUGUGGGGUGGAAAGCCUUGUGCGGCUGAGGAUGGGCCCGCGGCCUAUCAGCUUGUUGGUGGGGUGAUGGCCUACCAAGGCGACGACGGGUAGCCGGCCUGAGAGGGCGACCGGCCACACUGGGACUGAGAUACGGCCCAGACUCCUACGGGAGGCAGCAGUGGGGAAUCUUGCGCAAUGGGCGAAAGCCUGACGCAGCGACGCCGCGUGAGGGAUGACGGCCU
rnacentral:rRNA from 1 species